UCUUCUUCAUCAACAUCAAAAUUUAGUUCAUCUUCAUCAUCGUCAUCACAAAUACAUCAUCUUCAUCAUCAUCAUCAUCAUCAUCUCUAUUGCUUGUCAUAAAAAAUCAUCAUCAUCACCAAUCUUACCAUCAAUCAUCAUCAUAAUCCAAUGGUGGUAACUGCUAAAACGACUAAUUCUGACGAAAAUUUCAAAAUGUGUGGUAACUGAUAAAACGUCUAAUUCUGACAAAAAACUUUUGAUAAUUUUCUGCUUCAAAUAAAUUUAUUAUUCACAAAAUCUUCUUUUGAUCAUAAAAAUCACUCUUUUUCUUCUCUUUUUUUUUCAUUUUAAUUUCGCGUAGCUGUAAAUAUAGUACACUGUAAUGUAAUUCUGAAACAAAAAAAAAAUAUAUAUAUUGAGAAUAUCGACCAUCAGCUUAACUCUACUGUCCAUUAUGGUUUCAAUUGUUCUUCUACAAGUUGUCAGUAGUUGAACAAUCUGUAAAGAAAUUAUAUAAAGCUACAGUUCGAUCCUUUGAAUUUUCACUUGUUUUUGAAGUUGAAGCACAAGAGAGCAUGCUAGAAAGAAAGAAAGAGAGAGCAAAUUAAUCAUCCAAUAAUGCAUUCGCGUUCAAGCAUGUCUCCAACAUAUCAUCUUCCAGAACUGGGUACGUCUCUAAUUCUUCUGAUAAUUUUCUUUCAGUAGUUAUGUCCUUUCUUUCAUUUUUUUUUGAAGAAAAAAAGUUAACAAAAUGAGAUGAUCAAUUAAGUAAUAUUAUCGUAAAAACCUGAUGCGUGAGUUGUAAAAAGAGGAUAUAUCAAUUUUUUCAGAUGCAAAAUCACUAAAUAAAAUUUCAAACAAAGCAAAUUUUUUCGACAAUUAAAAUCGCUAAAAAUUAAGAACAACUUACAAGGAAUAAGAAAAUAUUACAAAACUUAUAAAAACUCGAAGAAGAUUAUGAUUGUAGUGUCUUUACAUCUCUUAAAAUUUGUCUUUGAAAACGAUUGAUUUUAAAUUAGAAAACAAUUAUCAAAUAUUUUUUAGCUUGAUUUGACAUAGACACAUACUGAUUUUCUUUAAAUUUUCCGUAUAAAUAAUAAUACUAUUUUUAUGAAGAUUUAUUCCUAUUUAGCACUUAUUUCAUUAAAUCAAUAGUUACUUAAUUAGGAUGGUAAACACAUGGAGAAACCGUCUUUGAACUUAUAUGCAUGAAUAAAACACACGUCUCGAUCCAAACAUCCGUUACUUUGUUUCAUACCUUUUUAUUUAUUGUCCUAUUUGCUUAUCAUUUUGAUUUCCCCUCCCCGUAAUACUAGCUUUUCUUUAUCGCCGAAAAAGGAUAUUCAUGGUUGAUAAAUCUCUCUCUCUCUUUCUCUUUCUCUCUCAAGAUUUGGAGAGAUGGUCAUAUAGACUUUUAAGUUUCCAAUAAGAGACUCUAAGACUCUUUUUACUACAAUAACUUUAGGCACUAUUAACUUAAAAAAAUUGACUCAAAUG
rnacentral:lncRNA from 1 species